UACGAAGGGUGCAAGCGUUACUCGGAAUUAUUGGGCGUAAAGCGUCCGUAGGUGGGUGAGGAAGUCUGCUGUUAAAGAGUGAGGCUUAACCUCAUAAGGGCAGUGGAAACUCUUCGUCUAGAGUGCGACAGGGGCAAGGGGAAUUCCUAGUGUAGCGGUGAAAUGCGUAGAGAUUAGGAAGAACACCGGUGGCGAAAGCGCCUUGCUGGGUCUGCACUGACACUGAGGGACGAAAGCUAGGGGAGCGAAAGGG
rnacentral:rRNA from 1 species